UGUUUACGGCUUACAUUGAAUAAAAUAGUGAUUUGUUUGCGGCGUUUUUGUGCAAGUUAAGAAAAGAAAUAAAUGGGCGUGUAGGAAAGAAAUUUGUAAUUUCUAUAUUAUUUUAAAAUGGAAACAAGUACCGAACAAGCCCCUGCGACUACGGAAGCUGCUCCUAAUAAUGAACAGGAGCACAAUGAAGAGGGCAUGGAAGAAACUGAAGAUUACAGUUUCGAUGGUGAAGAUUAUAGGCAUUUCGUACCACGGGGUCGAGGAGGCUUUAGGGGUCGUGGCAGAGGUGGGUUUGAUUUUCCCAUGAGAGGUGGACCUCCAAGAUUUAGAGGAAGAGGAUUUGGACCUAGAGGACCAAUGUUUCGGGGAGCGAAUAACGGAUUUCCAUUUGAGGGACCUCCUAGGCCAAAUUGUCCACCGGGUCCAGCAGGACCACGCUUUCGGGGACCUCCGCCAUUUGAUCCUAGCUGGGGACCAAUGGGGCCACCAAAUCUGAUGGGACCACCAAAUCUCAUGGGACCUCCAGGAAUGCCACCACCACACAUGAUGAAUGGCCCAAUUGGGACAGGUCCGGGACCAUACGGACCACCUCCUGGAAUGGGACCACCAAAUAUGAAUAACAUUCCAGGUCAGCAGCAAUCCCCGCAACAACAGGCGCAACAGCAAGCAAACAUUCCAGGAUUAGAUCUCAAUGGAGAGGUAUGGGUAGAAACAAAAACUCCAGAUGGCAAAUCAUAUUAUUAUAAUAUCCGCACGAGAGAAACUACAUGGACAAAACCAGAGGGACCAAAUGUCAAAGUCAUGGUACAAGACCAGUUAGAACAAUUGGUACAUGGAGCAUCUAAACAAACAACACCAUCCGGAACUCCUACUUCUUCAGCUACUACUCCCAAUCAAAUUAAUGAAAAUAGAGUAUCGCAGAAUAACGAACAAUCUUCAACAAAUAAUGCAGAUGCUAUUAGUCAACUCAGUACAGCUCCUCCUGGUACAGGUCCACCUCCCACACUUGGUGAAACACCAGAUAUGAAUACGCAACCAACUGAUACAACACAAGCAAACGGAACAGCACCUACAACUGUAACUAAUACUCCAAAUAUGAAUACUCCAGCAGUAAAUACAAAUAUGAUGCAACCUCCUCCUAACAUGAUACCUAUGCAACAUAGAAUGCCAAAUCAAUUUGGUGGUCCAAUUGCAACACAAUUUGGAGCAGCACCUUUUGGUAUGCCACCACCAGGAUUUCAACCUUUUGGAGGCUAUGGCCCACCUCAAGCAAAUUGGGGUAUGCCACAAAUGCCACAUGGAGUAAUGGCACCACAAGCUCCAGCAGAAGAUCCUGCUAUAUUAGCUCAAUUAGAUCAAGAAUUAGUAGCAUCUGCUAUGGUAUGGACAGAACAUCGUGCACCAGAUGGAAGAUUAUAUUAUUAUAAUAGUAAAGCUGGAGAAUCUGUUUGGGAAAAACCACAAGCUUUAAAAGAUCUUGAAAAUGCAAAAUUAGCGUUACGACAGAAAGCAGAAGAAGCAGCUGCCAAUACUACAAAUACUACUGUUAGUACUUCCACUGUUACUAAUAACAAUGCAACCACUGAGCCUACAAAACAAGAAAAACCUCAAGAAAGUAAUCACGAAACCAAAGAUAGUGUAAAGGAAGCAGAUGCUAAUAAACCGAAAAAAGAAGAAACUACACCUAAGGAAGCUGCCAAACCUCAAGAUAAAUCUAGACCAAUCUCUAGUACACCAGUACCUGGAACUCCUUGGUGCGUUGUUUGGACAGGCGAUGGACGUGUAUUCUUUUAUAAUCCUUCAUCGCGUAUUUCUGUUUGGGAAAGACCAGAUGAUCUCAUUGGUCGUCAAGAUGUCGAUAAAAUGGUAUCUACCCCACCAGAUGCAGUAGUAACUACUAAACCAACGCGUCAAUCAGAUACAAGUGAAAGCAGUGACGAUGAUCAACCAACACCGGCAAAAAAAGUGAAACAAGAAGAUACAAAAGCUGUAACACCAAAAGAAGAAGAAGAAAAAGAAAAUAAAAAGACUAUUGAUAUCGGGAAAGAAGCUGCAAUAGAGGCUGAAGUACGAGCUGCUAGAGAAAGAGCAAUUGUUCCUUUGGAAACAAGAAUUAAAUCAUUUAGGGAUAUGCUUGCAGAAAAAGAUGUAUCCGCGUUUAGUACAUGGGAAAAGGAACUUCAUAAAAUUGUGUUUGAUCCUCGGUACUUACUUUUGACAUCAAAGGAGAGGAAACAAGUUUUCGAGAAGUACGUCAAGGAGAGAGCAGAAGAAGAAAGGCGGGAAAAGAGGAACAAAAUGAAAGAAAGGAAAGAACAAUUUCAAAAAUUAUUAGAAGAAGCAGGACUUCAUGGAAAAUCUUCAUUUAGUGAUUUUGCUCAAAAACAUGGGCGUGAUGAACGGUUUAAGAAUGUAGAAAAGAUGCGUGAACGAGAGAGCCUAUUCAACGAAUAUCUGCUGGAAGUGCGAAAGAAGGAAAAAGAGGAAAAAACAGCAAAACGAGAGCAGGUGAAAAAGGAAUUCAUAGCGAUGCUACGUGAACACAAAGACAUCGACAGGCAUUCGCAUUGGAGCGAUUGUAAGAAAAAAUUGGAAUCUGAUUGGAGAUACAGAGUCGUAGAAUCGGCAAGCACGAGAGAAGAUUGGUUUAGGGAUUACAUUCGUAUGCUAAAGGAGGAGAGGAAAAAGGAGAAGGAGAAAGACAAAGACCACCGGCACAGAGAAAAAGAUCAUCAUAAAUCGGAGAAGAAGGAUAGAGACCGUAAGGAUGUUGAUAAGUAUAAGGAAAAAUCAUCAAAGGAUCGGGUUGACAAGGACAGUUCAAAGGAUAAAAAACGCAGGAGCGAAGUACCUUCGGAGGAAAAUGGUAAAGAAAAGAAGGAUGCAGUAUCGGAGAAAGAAAGUGGAGAAAUUGAAGAUAACGAUGAGAAACCAUCGAAAAAAGAAAAUGACAAGGAGAAUGCGGAAGACCAAUCUGAUUCUGAAGAAGAUCGUGAGAAACAGAAACGAGAGCGUGAAAGAAGGGCGGAAGCGAGCCUUCGUGAAAGAGAAAGAGAAGUUCAAAGAACUCUUGCUACACAUCUUCGCGACAGAGACAAGGAAAGGCAACAUCAUCGUCAUACAGAAGCUGUACAACAUUUCAGUGCUCUUCUUGCUGAUUUAGUGAGAAAUGGUGAUUUAGCUUGGAGAGAAGCUAAACGACAAUUAAGGAAGGAUCAUAGAUGGGAAUUAGCUGAAAGUUUAGAUCGUGAGGAAAAAGAAAGAUUAUUUAAUGAACAUAUAGAACAGCUUAGUCGCAAAAAACGUGAUAAAUUCCGAGAACUUCUUGAUGAAGUAGGAGCUUCUACUGAAUUAACUGCAUCGUGGCGAGAUAUAAAAAAAUUACUGAAAGACGACCCUAGAUAUCUUAAAUUUUCAUCCAGUGAUCGAAAAUGUGAAAAAGAAUUUAAAGAGUAUAUUAAAGAUAAACUUGUCGCAGCUAAAGCCGAUUUUAGAGAACUUCUACAAGAAACAAAACUUAUUACUGAUAAGACAUACAAAAAAGUACAAGAAAAUAGCGGACAUUUAGCAGAAAUUGAAGAAAUUUUGAGGAAGGAUAGAAGAUUUCUUGUAUUGGAAGCAGCUGCUGCUGAACGAACACGUUUAUUAAUGGGAUAUUUAGAAGAAUUGGCACGUAGGGGUCCACCUCCGCCACCUACUGCUUCCGAACCUUCAAGAAGACCAACCACAAACUAACGAGGCCCGCAUCAAAGCAUGGUAUAUAUAUGGUGUCCAAAUAACAAAUCAGUGAUUGAAUUUAUAGCUGUAGUUGAAUUGAAGUACUUUACACACGAGAUGAUUAUCGCCUGUAAUUAUAGGAUUCAAUAAAACUAACGCCAAUUCCACACAGCUAAAAAAUGUGUGUCAUACUGUAAAGAUGCCAUAGUGUUUGUUACAUAAGCACCCCAUUAUGAAUCUUUUGUAUGAAAAUUACAUGAGAAUUACAACGAGUGUUUGUUCCACACUCUCAACUAGUUUAAAAGCAUGCGCAGUGAAUUUCUAUAAACUGAUGUUAAAAUAUAAUAGUCCAAAAAAUUUUAAUCCUUGUAUCUAAAACAAACAAAAAAUGUAUAACGUACGACAAUCAUGCACCAUAAUUUUUUGACGGAGUAUAGUUCGAAAAUAAUUUUCAAUUUUCGAAUUAUUUUUCUCAUACAGCUUUAUUGGAUCAUGAAACGUAAGUAUCCUAUAAAACAUUGUCAUAAAAAAUUUUGAUUCUAAAGAAUUCGUAAAAAAUUAUUACACAUACAAAAAAUUCUAUUGUUUAUAGUAACAAUUAUUUACUAUUUAUUCAUGUGGCAUUUUUACGGUACGAAAUUCAUAAAACGUAUAUUAGGAAAAUAUAUUUUCUUCAAUAAAUCAUUCAUAAAAAUUUGUGAAAAACAAAUUUAACACAUCUCCCAACAACUUAUUAUUUUCGUUUUAUUUCUAAUGUUUUAUAAUAUUUCAUUACAGACUUGCGUAAACAAUUAAGUGUAAAGUAGUACAAAUAAUUGAAGAUAAAUCAUAAAAAUUAUCAAAUUAAUUUGUAAAUUUUAUUUUAUAUUGAAGAAUAUUGAAAUCGUUUAUUUUUAUCCGAAAAAUAUUAAUUAAUUUUAGUACGAUUAUGUAAUAUUAUAAUGUUACAAUAUAUUCAAUGUAUAUAAAAUAAAUACAAUAAAAUUUAUGCGCAUUGUAACAUUAUAAAAAAAAAAAAAAAAGGAAUAGAAAGAAAGAAAGAAAAAAAAAGAAAACAAUUUUGCUUUCUCAAUCAUAUACGACUUAUCAUUGCAUGAUUUUGUUUUAAAUAUUGGAGAACAAUAAUUAUUUAUUACAUAUCAUUUAAUUGAUUGAAUAUAAUAACGACCUAUAAAUCUCUAAUAAAUAGUUAUAUAUUUACGUAUUCUUUCAUUCUUACAAGCUAUGUCAGUCAUUGAAAUAUACGCGGUGAUUUCAACGCCAGGAACGGAGAUUUCAACGCUUGCAUCUAUUAAGAAAGGUAUGCUAUUAUAUAGUAUAAUUUUUUUUUUCUAAUAUUUAAAUAUACAAAUUCAAAUAUAAAAUUUAAUUCGAAAGAAAUAUUCAAUUAUAAUUUUUUUCAAUAAAUUUUAUAAACAGACAUUUUUUUUCUUGAUCAAAAUAAUUUAUAUAUAUUUUAAGUUAAAAUCUCAUCAUUUUUACAUGUGUAUUCUUCCGUAAAUUCGUAUCAUUAUCACGAAACAAAAUACCGUACGUGAUUGUAUAUGGUACAUCUUUGUCGUUACCGUUACAAUCGGGACCAUGUUGCACUUCCUGCUAACUCCGCAGGAAUACAAAUUGGCAACUUGACGCUGUGGCUAGUUUGUAAUCGAAUCUUCUGUCGUAAUUUUACAUGAAUAGUAGCUGAAAAUCCAAAUAGCAAUAAAUUUCUAUGAAAGUUUAA